rnacentral:rRNA from 1 species
GAUGAACGCUGGCGGCGUGCCUAAUACAUGCAAGUCGAGCGAACAGACGAGGAGCUUGCUCCUUUGACGUUAGCGGCGGACGGGUGAGUAACACGUGGGUAACCUACCUAUAAGACUGGGAUAACUUCGGGAAACCGGAGCUAAUACCGGAUAAUAUUUCGAACCGCAUGGUUCGAUAGUGAAAGAUGGCUCUGCUAUCACUUAUCGAUGGACCUGCGCCGUAUUAGCUAGUUGGUAAGGUAACGGCUUACCAAGGCAACGAUACGUAGCCGACCUGAGAGGGUGAUCGGCCACACUGGAACUGAGACACGGUCCAGACUCCUACGGGAGGCAGCAGUAGGGAAUCUUCCGCAAUGGGCGAAAGCCUGACGGAGCAACGCCGCGUGAGUGAUGAAGGUCUUCGGAUCGUAAAACUCUGUUAUUAGGGAAGAACAAACGUGUAAGUAACUGUGCACGUCUUGACGGUACCUAAUCAGAAAGCCACGGCUAACUACGUG